GCCGGCCUAGUUCAAUUGGUAGAGCAACUGACUUGUAAUCAGUAGGUUGGGGGUUCAAGUCCUCUGGCCGGCACCA
rnacentral:tRNA from 1 species